AUCAAUUCUCAGACUUUUAGCUACAAUCAAGUACAGUAUCUGUUCUUAACAGUUUAAUAUCUUAUAUAUUCUAUAACCAAGCACAAUAUAUUAAGUGGAUUUUUCGCAGAAAGAUGAAAUAGGAGUUUUUUCCAUCCAUUCCAUUCAUUGACCUGGUAUUGCAGUGCCUCCAGGAAUAGGCACAAAAA
rnacentral:snRNA from 1 species